UUGUCCCGCCUCCACUGCGA
rnacentral:misc_RNA from 1 species